GUGGGGAAUUUUGGACAAUGGGCGCAAGCCUGAUCCAGCAAUGCCGCGUGCAGGAAGAAGGCCUUCGGGUUGUAAACUGCUUUUGUACGGAACGAAACGGUCCUGGCUAAUAUCCGGGGCUAAUGACGGUACCGUAAGAAUAAGCACCGGCUAACUACGUGCCAGCAGCCGCGGUAAUACGUAGGGUGCGAGCGUUAAUCGGAAUUACUGGGCGUAAAGCGUGCGCAGGCGGUGCUGUAAGACAGGCGUGAAAUCCCCGUGCUCAACCUGGGAAUUGCGCUGGUGACUGCAGUGCUGGAGUGCGGCAGAGGGGGAUGGAAGUCCUCGUGUAGCAGUGAAAUGCGUAGAUAUGCGGAGGAACACCGAUGGCGAAGGCAAUCCCCUGGGCCUGCACUGACGCUCAUGCACGAAAGCGUGGGGAGCAAACAGGAUUAGAAACCCGAGUAGUCC
rnacentral:rRNA from 1 species